rnacentral:rRNA from 1 species
GUGCAGCCGCCGCGGUAAUACGGAGGGUGCAAGCGUUAUCCGGAUUCAUUGGGUUUAAAGGGUGCGCAGGCGGAUACUUAAGUCAGUGGUGAAAUCCCGGGGCUCAACCCCGGAACUGCCAUUGAUACUGAAUAUCUGGAAUACGGUUGAAGUGGGCGGAAUGUAGCAUGUAGCGGUGAAAUGCAUAGAGAUGCUACAGAACACCGAUCGCGAAGGCAGCUCACUAAGCCGAUAUUGACGCUCAGGCACGAAAGCGUGGGGAGCGAACAGGAUUAGAUACCCUGGUAGUCCACGCCGUAAACGAUGAUAACUCGUUGUUGGCGACACACAGUCAGCGACUAAGCGAAAGCGAUAAGUUGUCCACCUGGGGAGUACGAUCGCAAGGUUGAAACUCAAAUGAAUUGACGG